GACGAACGCUGGCGGCGUGCUUAACACAUGCAAGUCGUACGGUAAGGCCCUUUCUGGGGUACACGAGUGGCGCACGGGUGAGUAACACGUGAGUAACCUGCCCACAACUUUGGGAUAACGCUAGGAAACUGGUGCUAAUACUGGAUAUGUGCUCCUGCUGCAUGGUGGGGGUUGGAAAGCUCCGGCGGUUGUGGAUGGACUCGCGGCCUAUCAGCUUGUUGGUGGGGUAGUGGCCUACCAAGGCGGCGACGGGUAGCCGGCCUGAGAGGGUGACCGGCCACAUUGGGACUGAGAUACGGCCCAGACUCCUACGGGAGGCAGCAGUGGGGAAUAUUGCACAAUGGGCGCAAGCCUGAUGCAGCGACGCCGCGUGCGGGAUGACGGCCUUCGGGUUGUAAACCGCUUUCAGCAGGGACGAAGCUUUUUGUGACGGUACCUGCAGAAGAAGCACCGGCUAACUACGUG
rnacentral:rRNA from 1 species